UUGAACGCUGGCGGCAGGCCUAACACAUGCAAGUCGCGCGGAUGAAGGGAGCUUGCUCCUGGAUUCAGCGGCGGACGGGUGAGUAAUGCCUAGGAAUCUGCCUGGUAGUGGGGGAUAACGUCCGGAAACGGGCGCUAAUACCGCAUACGUCCUGAGGGAGAAAGUGGGGGAUCUUCGGACCUCACGCUAUCAGAUGAGCCUAGGUCGGAUUAGCUAGUUGGUGGGGUAAAGGCCUACCAAGGCGACGAUCCGUAACUGGUCUGAGAGGAUGAUCAGUCACACUGGAACUGAGACACGGUCCAGACUCCUACGGGAGGCAGCAGUGGGGAAUAUUGGACAAUGGGCGAAAGCCUGAUCCAGCCAUGCCGCGUGUGUGAAGAAGGUCUUCGGAUUUUAAAGCACUUUAAGUUGGGAGGAAGGGCAGUAAGUUAAUACCUUGCUGUUUUGACGUUACCAACAGAAUAAGCACCGGCUAACUUCGUG
rnacentral:rRNA from 1 species